GCCCUCAUAGCUCAGCAGGCAGAGCACCGGACUUUUAAUCCGAGGGUCGUAGGUUCGAUUCCUACUGAGGGUACCA
rnacentral:tRNA from 1 species